AAAAUUCCGGUUCAAGUCCCUCUAUCCCCA
rnacentral:tRNA from 1 species